AGCUUACUGAGCCGACACUGACGCUGAGGCACGAAAGCGUGGGGAUCGAACAGGAUUAGAUACCCUGGUAGUCCACGCCGUAAACGAUGAUUACUCGCUGUUGGCGAUACACUGUCAGCGGCUAAGCAAAAGCAAUAAGUAAUCCACCUGGGGAGUACGGCCGCAAGGUUGAAACUCAAAGGAAUUGACGGGGGCCCGCACAAGCGGAGGAACAUGUGGUUUAAUUCGAUGAUACGCGAGGAACCUUACCAGGGCUUAAAUGUAGAGUGCAUUUUUUAGAGAUAGAAAUUCCCUUCGGGGCUUUCUGCAAGGUGCUGCAUGGUUGUCGUCAGCUCGUGCCGUGAGGUGUCGGGUUAAGUCCCAUAACGAGCGCAACCCUUAUCGUUAGUUGCCAUCUGGUAAUGCAGGGGACUCUAGCGAAACUGCCACCGUAAGGUGAGAGGAAGGUGGGGAUGACGUCAAAUCAGCACGGCCCUUGUGUCCAGGGCUACACACGUGUUACAAUGGUCGGUACAGAGGGCAGCUACCUGGUGACAGGAUGCUAAUCUCGAAAACCGGUCUCAGUUCGGAUCGAAGUCUGCAACUCGACUUCGUGAAGCUGGAUUCGCUAGUAAUCGCGCAUCAGCUAUGGCGCGGUGAAUACGUUCCCGGGCCUUGUACACACCGCCCGUCAAGCCAUGGAAGCUGGGGGUGCCUGAAGUCCGUAACCGUAAGGAGCGGCCUAGGGUAAAACUAGUGACUGGGGCUAAGUCGUAACAAGGUAACCGUA
rnacentral:rRNA from 1 species